GCCAGUGUGGCUCAGUGGUUUCAGUGUUGGGCUGUGGCUCUGGAGGACCAGGUUCGAAUCCCCACUCAGCCA